GAAGGUGUAGCUCAGUGGUAGAGCACAUGCUCAGCAUGCAUGAGGUCCUAGGUUCAAUCUCCAGCACCUCCA
rfam:Camelus ferus unplaced genomic scaffold scaffold429, whole genome shotgun sequence.